rnacentral:tRNA from 1 species
GGUGACGUGUCCGAGCGGCCGAAGGUGCAACACUCGAAAUGUUGUUUGGUGUAAAAGCCAACGUGGGUUCAAAUCCCACCGUCACCGCCC